GCAGGCUGCAACUCGCCUGUAUGAAGUCGGAAUUGCUAGUAAUUGCGGAUCAGCAUGCCGCGGUGAAUACGUUCCCGGGCCUUGUACACACCGCCCGUCACACCAUGAGAGCCGGUAACACCCGAAGUCAGUAGCUUAACCGCAAGGGGGCGCUGCCGAAGGUGGGAUUGGUAAUUGGGGUGAAGUCGUAACAAGGUACC
rnacentral:rRNA from 1 species